rnacentral:lncRNA from 1 species
AUCAAACAUUUCAGUUAUAUCAACACUCUGAGGGGUCGUUUGGUUGGAUGUAGUUGUAGAAACAGUGUAGUUGGAAAUACAUGCAGUUGUAAAUGCUGUAGUUGUAACUACACCUAGUCUGUUUGGUUUUAUACAGUUGUAACUGCUGCAGUUACAUUUUUUCUGUUUGGUAAUAUGAAGAUGAUAAUUAUAUUUGUGAAUUUUAUCACCUCUUCAGAUAGAGUGGUGAGAUUACCUUCACUAUGCAUAAAUAAUUGUAUAAUUUUAUUAAUCAUUUAAACUUACUAUUUAUAAAUAAAUAAAUAGAUAUGUAUAAUAUUUUUAUAUUUUUCAACAAUUCUUCAAUUUAUUAAUGGACACAUUUAAAAUUUUCAAUUUAUUUAAUUUUAANUCAUGCUGGGACGCCGAGCUUAUUUUUACAGCAGAGUCUAGGCUGUUUCGGGUUGUCGGGUGCCGUCGUGGUGGACGGUGGACCCAGAUUCCUAUUUUUG